rnacentral:rRNA from 1 species
GACGAACGCUGGCGGCGUGCUUAACACAUGCAAGUCGAACGGAAAGGCCCUGCUUGCAGGGUACUCGAGUGGCGAACGGGUGAGUAACACGUGGGUGAUCUGCCCUGCACUUCGGGAUAAGCUUGGGAAACUGGGUCUAAUACCGGAUAGGAGCCAUCUUUAGUGUGGUGGUUGGAAAGUUUUUUCGGUGUAGGGUGAGCUCGCGGCCUAUCAGCUUGUUGGUGGGGUAAUGGCCUACCAAGGCGGCGACGGGUAGCCGGCCUGAGAGGGUGUACGGCCACAUUGGGACUGAGAUACGGCCCAGACUCCUACGGGGGGCAGCAGUGGGGAAUAUUGCACAAUGGGCGCAAGCCUGAUGCAGCGACGCCGCGUGGGGGAUGAAGGCCUUCGGGUUGUAAACUCCUUUCGCUAGGGACGAAGCUUUGUUGUGACGGUACCUAGAGAAGAAGCACCGGCUAACUACGUG